GACGAACGCUGGCGGCGUGCCUAACACAUGCAAGUCGAGCGAAUGAAGUUCCUUCGGGAAUGGAUUUAGCGGCGGACGGGUGAGUAACACGUGGGCAACCUGCCUCAUAGAGGGGAAUAGCCUUCCGAAAGGGAGAUUAAUACCGCAUAAGAUUGUAGUAUCGCAUGAUACAGCAAUUAAAGGAGCAAUCCGCUAUGAGAUGGGCCCGCGGCGCAUUAGCUAGUUGGUGAGGUAACGGCUCACCAAGGCGACGAUGCGUAGCCGACCUGAGAGGGUGAUCGGCCACAUUGGGACUGAGACACGGCCCAGACUCCUACGGGAGGCAGCAGUGGGGAAUGUUGCACAAUGGGGGAAACCCUGAUGCAGCAACGCCGCGUGAGUGAUGACGGCCUUCGGGUUGUAAAGCUCUGUCUUCAGGGACGAUAAUGACGGUACCUGAGGAGGAAGCCACGGCUAACUACGUG
rnacentral:rRNA from 1 species